AUUGCAGCAGGCGCGCAAAUUACCCAUUUCCGACACGGAGAGGUAGUGACGAAAAAUAACAAUACAGGUCUCUUUCGAGGCCCUGUAAUUGGAAUGAGCGUAUCCUAAACCCAUGGGCGAGGACCCAUUGGAGGGCAAGUCUGGUGCCAGCAGCCGCGGUAAUUCCAGCUCCAAUAGCGUAUACUAAAGUUGCUGCAGUUAAAAAGCUUGUAGUUGGAUCUCGGGAGAAU
rnacentral:rRNA from 1 species